rnacentral:rRNA from 1 species
AUUGAACGCUGGCGGCAGGCCUAACACAUGCAAGUCGAACGAGUGGCGGACGGGAGAGCAAUGUCUGGGAAAAUGCAUGAUGGAGGGGGAUAACUCCUGUAAACGGUCGAUACUACCGAAUACCCUCCGCUGUGACCAGAAUGGAGUAGCUAGUAGGUGGGGUAAAGGCUCACCUAGGCGACGAUGCAUAGCUGGUCUGAGAGGAUGACCGGCCACACUGGAACUGAGACACGGUCCAUACUCCUACGGGAGGCAGCAGUGGGGAAUAUUGCGCAAUGGGCGCAAGCCUGAUGCAGCCAUGCCGCGUGUGUGAAGAAGGCCUUCGGAUUGUAAAGUACUUUCAUCAGGGAGGCGUUACCCGAAGAAGAAGCACCGGCUAACUCCGUGCCAGCAGCCGCGGUAAUUC